UUCGCAAUGCCCGAAAGGGUGACGAAGCGACGCCGCGUGGGUGAGGAAGGCCUUCGGGUUGUAAAGCCCUGUCAGGAGUUAAGAAAUGUAAGUGCGCUAAUAUCGCAUUUAUUUGACGAAGGCUCCAAAAGAAGUCACGGCUAACUCUGUGCCAGCAGCCGCGGUAAUACAGAGGUGGCAAGCGUUGUUCGGAAUUAUUGGGCGUAAAGAGCACGUAGGUGGGUUUGUAAGUCAGAUGUGAAAGCCUUCUGUUCAACGGAAGAAUUGCAUCUGAAACUGCGAGUCUUGAGUGUAGGAGGGGAGAAUGGAACUUCUGGUGGAGCGGUGAAAUGCGUAGAUAUCAGAAGGAACGCCGGCGGCGAAAGCGAUUCUCUGGCCUAUUACUGACACUCAGUGUGCGAAAGCUAGGGGAGCAAACGGGAUUAGAUACCCCGGUAGUCCUAGCCGUAAACGAUGGGCACUAAGUAGAGGGGUUUU
rnacentral:rRNA from 1 species